GCCCUAAGUUUGUUUCUUUUUCCUUAUUUCUUCUCAUUUGUGCCGAUUCCCCUUUCUCUUCUUCUCGUGCCCUAGCCAUCACCAUCGCUUGAGCCCCUCUUCCUCUUCUCGUCUCCUUCGCGAGCGAUCUCCGCCCGAUCCACCGUCGUCGGCGUCGAGAGACACUACCCGAAUCGACGCCUCCCGAACCCCUCCUCUCCUUCAAUCGCCAAAGCUGGAGCUAUCGCCGAGGUCUUUGAGUUUCCCUCCCUUGUAUGGGCUGCCUUCGGCCAAGAGCAGGGAAGUGCCGUCCUCUCACGUGCGACACAACCUUGCGUGACCUAGCAUCGCCAAUGUUGCUGGCGUAGAUGCACACCGAGCCGUGCCGUUAGAGGUUGAUCUCCUUCCUCUGGCCGGUUGCCACCUACCUCUACAAUUGAUUGCUGCUGAUCCAUCUUGUGCCUUAGUUGGCACUAUCAGAGCACUUCUGUCCCAGUCUGAUGCAGUCAUCCAUUUCACCACCGAUAGCUUCUCCCUAUUCCGUCCAUCCAUGCUUGUCGCUGGAAUCUCAUUGGUAGCAGAUAGUCGACCCCUUCUGCUCAUCGUCGUCGCUGCCGUGUACCACUGCCAGGGAUCCAUUGGCGGAGAGGGAAUGACCGAAUAAGGAUUUUGAUUCGAUACGGGUGAUUUGACGUUGGGAUUGGAUUGGCACGAACUAUGCAUAAGGUAUCAAAAGGAUCAUGAUCCGAUCAAAUCAUAUCAGAAUUGCGAUCAAAUCUAGGGUUAAACGAGAUGAUCAAGCUUUAAAAGCAUUAUGGACCGUUCAUCCAAGAUCAGAGCCGAUCUAAGCCAUCAGUUGAAAAUCUGGCCCAUCCAACCUAAUGAAGAGCAGAUCUUAGCUGUUGAAGAUCCAAAGCUUUUGAUCCAGAUUUGAAGUCAUCCAGCCGUUAGAUGAGAUCAGAGCAUUCUCAACCGUUGAUCAGAUUUGAGGUUGAUUUAAAAGGCUCGAGAAGCUACAGUGUUCUUCAAGCUCAGUUUCUUCCUUGCGAUUUUAUGCCACUGUUCAUCAUCUUCUCCGACGUUCCCGUUCCACUUCCAGAUCUAAGAACUGAAUCACUUCAUCUCUGGUGAGCUUACAACGAUCUAGCGACCAGCAAUCAAGGGGCAAAGCGCGAUUUGAGGGCGUUCCCCGUUCGUGAUCUUGAUAUCUGCGAGCGCCAUUCAAGCACAGUUUUGAGGGUGUUCCCCGAUCUGAUGUUGUCAUCAUCCAACUGAAGUGGCUGAGGACGUUCCCCGUUCUUCAGAGUCCAUUCCAUCCUCGAUUUUACCUCGCAAUUCCAAGAUAUCCUCUGUUUCUCAAUGGCUGGCGAAUUCAGGUAAAUCCGAGCUAGUUAGGGCAUUCCCAGUAGCUUGGACUUCAUCCUAAAUAAGCUAGGAGUUCAUUAUUUCGUUGCUGAUUGCUCGAAGGGCGUUCCCAGAAGCAAAUCAGUAACACGGCAGAGAGAAGAAGUUUGGAUCCGGGGUUUGGAUGUGGAAUGCAAUUUGUUUUAGUUUACUUUUUAAUUGUUCAUGAAUCUGCUAAGAUCUAAUGAUCUGAUUUCUUAGCUUUGCAAUUCCGUUUGAUUAUUUAGUUUUGCUACCUCAUUUAUUUUGAAUUACUGCGAUCCAAUUCUUGUUUCAGCUACUUAACUAGUUGAAAUUUAGUUUCUGUUUUGAAUUAGAAGUUCUAAUUAACAAAAGUUUGUUUAGUUUUUGCUAUUUAGUAAGCAAAUCUUUGUUCUCUGCAUUGAAUGUGUUGUGACUAAGAUGGAGUUCAAUGUUAACGCUCACUUGAGUUUUUAAUU